GGGAAAAGCUCAAAUUUAAAAUCUGGUAGUCUAUGGCUAUCCGAGUUGUAAUCUAGAGAAGUGUUACCCGCGUUGGACCGUGUACAAGUCUCCUGGAAUGGAGCGUCAUAGAGGGUGAGAAUCCCGUCUUUGACACGGACUACCAAGGCUUUGUGGUGCGCUCUCAAC
rnacentral:rRNA from 1 species